GGAGACGUGGCCGAGUGGUCGAAGGCGCUCCCCUGCUAAGGGAGUAGGCGGGAAACCGCCUCGAGGGUUCGAAUCCCUUCGUCUCCGCCA
rnacentral:tRNA from 2 species